CUUAAUAGAGUGAAAACGGAGAAAAGCCCGUGCCCAUCAGAAUAAUGGAAUCUCCCCUCUGCUCAUGCGGAGAUGAACAAAAAAUGAAGCAUCCGGUCGAAACAUGUCUCAACACCAAGUUUGAAGUAGAAAUUACGCAUGCAGUUGCAUGGAUAACCGAUCUGAAAAUACCUACGCUGUGACCGAACCCAAUACAUUUCAAACCGCCAUGAUGUUACCAAUUGUCCGGCACACCAUGCUGUUCAUUUUUUAUUACCUACUCUGUCAGAACAACUGCAUUAAUUAUAAGACCUACACAUAUAAUUGUAUUCCAUCCUAACUAUUAUUUUGUUUCGUUUGUUAUAUUAUUAUUACUUAUAUU